rnacentral:rRNA from 1 species
GGGGAAUAUUGCACAAUGGGCGCAAGCCUGAUGCAGCCAUGCCGCGUGUGUGAAGAAGGCCUUCGGGUUGUAAAGCACUUUCAGCGAGGAGGAAGGGUUCAGUGUUAAUAGCACCUGUUCAUUGACGUUACUCGCAGAAGAAGCACCGGG